rnacentral:lncRNA from 1 species
AUGUUGUUUGCUUCUUUAGAAAUGUCUCUUCUUCUUUAUCUAAUUUUUGGAGCCUAACCCACUCAAUGGAUCUAUUGGGAGAUUAGCCAUCUCGAAUCGGCUUAUAACAUUUGUCAAUAAAAUUUGGUUAAGUAAUUUUUUUGUCCGAAAACUACUGGGUGGAAUGGUGGAUACAGGAAGGUAGAGAAACAUGUUUACAUGUCAAAAACAUGAUUAAAGACAAUAAGAGGAAAGGAAACUAAAUUCAAUCUAGUACUCUGUGUGCUAAGGAUAAUAAGACUGUGCACGAACCGGAGAAAGAGGGAUCAGACGCAAAAAGAAGCAAAUAAGAUGAAGGAUGGAAUGGAAAAGGACAAGAAAAGGGGAAUCAGAAACCUACCCAGGAAAAAGCAAAUAUACGAAAGGCUAAAGCCACCAAAGGACUAAAGUCAUGUUAAGCACGAAGGGUCAUCUACAUGUCGCCGUCAGUGCCACCACAGCAGUAGCCAUGCCGCCACUGUCACUAACCUCCGUAAAAACAAAUAUAGCACGGUAACCCACUUUGACCCAACCCGUUUUGACCCCAUUCCAUUUGACAUGUUUUUUUAAAUGCUGACGAUUCAGAGACGAACCCAAUUUGACACAUUGCACAACUGAACCGAACCAAACCUAACCCGUCCUGACAGUUUGGACACAUUACACAACCUGACCCAACCCACCAUUUGCCAGUCAUAUUAAUGACAUUCUAAGACAUGUAAAAAUGAAUUAGACCUUAAUCACACCUUACACAUAUUCACAUAACUGUUACGAGCUACCAUACUGCACAAGACUGACCCGACCUGAGACCUAGAAUGACGUGGAAAUUGGAAACGAGAACCGGGCCCUUUUGUAACUUUGGUCAGGCAGCUGACUGAUAAAGGACCGUGACCAAUAAGGAGCUGCCAAACGAUGUAUUGAGCAACAGUAGUGAGAGCUGAAUUAUUAGAAUUCUAUUGAAUUGAGUUUCUGCACGCAUACCACCUGUUUGAUGAAAAUCCUGUGAGUUUUGAUUCCACUUUAAAUUAGCAUUGCUGGGUAACUUUCAGUUUCUGUAACUUUCAUGGAGGGAUGUGGGUAAGAAGUAUGUAAUAACGUAUUUUAAAUGUGGCUUGGGCUCAAAAUAAAACAGAAUCGAAUUU